rnacentral:lncRNA from 1 species
GCACAUAUGUAGGGGGAGCAAUUGCUACCAAUUUGGGUUUAUGAAACUUGUCCAUAACCUUUGCACAUGGUAAAAUGCUUUGACAAGCAACAUGAAUUCAAGAAAAUUUUAUUGAAAAUCUUUGUAAAAAGGGUUGUCAUCAAUUACCAAAAAGGGGGAGAUUGAAAGCCCUAGUUUGGUUUUGGAUAAUUGAUGAAACCCUAGUACUAACCUCUAUACUAAGUAUGUGUAGACUUAAUGAGG